AUUGAACGCUGGCGGCAGGCUUAACACAUGCAAGUCGAGCGGAGAUGAGGUGCUUGCACCUUAUCUUAGCGGCGGACGGGUGAGUAAUGCUUAGGAAUCUGCCUAUUAGUGGGGGACAACAUUCCGAAAGGAAUGCUAAUACCGCAUACGUCCUACGGGAGAAAGCAGGGGAUCUUCGGACCGUGCGCUAAUAGAUGAGACUAAGUCGGAUUAGCUAGUUGGUGGGGUAAAGGCCUACCAAGGCGACGGUCUGUAGCGGGUCUGAGAGGAUGUCCCGCCACAUCGGGACUGACUAACGGCCCAGCCUCCCACGGGAGGCUGCAGUGGUGAAUGUUGGACAAUGGGUGGAACGCUGAUCUGGCCAUCCCUCGUGUGUGAAGAAGGCCUUAUGGUUGUAAAGCACUUUAAGCGAGGAGGAGGUUACUGCGACUAAUACUCUUGGAUAGUGGACGUUACUCGCAGAUUAAGCACCGGCUAACUCUGUGCCAGCCGCCGCCGUAACAC
rnacentral:rRNA from 1 species